GCGGAUUCUGCCUCGCGCUCCUUCCCUUCCCCCCCCCUCUUCCUCGCGGUCGCGCCGCUCUCGCGCUCGCUUUUCCCCUCCCGCCUCCUUGUCAGUGCGGUGGCUGCGCUGGGAAACAUGGCGUCGGAGGGAAUGAUUUUAACCAACCACGACCAUCAAAUCCGCGUCGGGGUCCUCACAGAACUGAUCAAGGAGGGUCCUCAGAAUGACACAGGAACAAGUUGGGGUGUGGGCAGAGGCCUGGUGGAACAGGUGGCUUGUCAGCUAGGCUGCAUAGGAGUGGAUUGAGGCAAGGACAAGAACCACAAGGGGUUUCUACUUUGAGAACAGAGAGCCAGACCAGCCCCCAAAAGCCAGGCAGUUGCUAACAGACCAAAAGGCCCAAGGUCCAUUCUUUCCCACUUUCAGGAAAU